UUAACGGAGAGUUUGAUCCUGGCUCAGGACGAACGCUGGCGGCGUGCUUAACACAUGCAAGUCGAACGAUGAAGCCCAGCUUGCUGGGUGGAUUAGUGGCGAACGGGUGAGUAACACGUGAGUAACCUGCCCCUCACUUCAGGAUAACUCCGGGAAACCGGUGCUAAUACUGGAUAUGAUCACUUCCCGCAUGGGAUGGUGGUGGAAAGUUUUUCGGUGGGGGAUGGACUCGCGGCCUAUCAGCUUGUUGGUGGGGUAAUGGCCUACCAAGGCGACGACGGGUAGCCGGCCUGAGAGGGCGACCGGCCACACUGGGACUGAGACACGGCCCAGACUCCUACGGGAGGCAGCAGUGGGGAAUAUUGCACAAUGGGCGAAAGCCUGAUGCAGCGACGCCGCGUGAGGGAUGACGGCCUUCGGGUUGUAAACCUCUUUCAGUAGGGACGAAGCUUUUGUGACGGUACCUACAGAAGAAGCACCGGCUAACUACGUGCCAGCAGCCGCGGUAAUACGUAGGGUGCGAGCGUUGUCCGGAAUUAUUGGGCGUAAAGAGCUUGUAGGCGGUUUGUCGCGUCUGCUGUGAAAGCCCGGGGCUUAACUCCGGGUCUGCAGUGGGUACGGGCAGGCUAGAGUAUGGUAGGGGAGACUGGAAUUCCUGGUGUAGCGGUGGAAUGCGCAGAUAUCAGGAGGAACACCGAUGGCGAAGGCAGGUCUCUGGGCCAUAACUGACGCUGAGAAGCGAAAGCAUGGGUAGCGAACAGGAUUAGAUACCCUGGUAGUCCAUGCCGUAAACGUUGGGCGCUAGGUGUGGGGCUCAUUCCACGAGUUCCGCGCCGCAGCUAACGCAUUAAGCGCCCCGCCUGGGGAGUACGGCCGCAAGGCUAAAACUCAAAGGAAUUGACGGGGGCCCGCACAAGCGGCGGAGCAUGCGGAUUAAUUCGAUGCAACGCGAAGAACCUUACCAAGGCUUGACAUAUACCGGAAACAUUCAGAGAUGAGUGCCCCGCAAGGUCGGUAUACAGGUGGUGCAUGGUUGUCGUCAGCUCGUGUCGUGAGAUGUUGGGUUAAGUCCCGCAACGAGCGCAACCCUCGUUCUAUGUUGCCAGCACGUUAUGGUGGGGACUCAUAGGAGACUGCCGGGGUCAACUCGGAGGAAGGUGGGGAUGACGUCAAAUCAUCAUGCCCCUUACGUCUUGGGCUUCACGCAUGCUACAAUGGCCAGUACAAAGGGCUGCGAUACCGUAAGGUGGAGCGAAUCCCAAAAAACUGGUCUCAGUUCGGAUUGGGGUCUGCAACUCGACCCCAUGAAGUCGGAGUCGCUAGUAAUCGCAGAUCAGCAACGCUGCGGUGAAUACGUUCCCGGGCCUUGUACACACCGCCCGUCAAGUCACGAAAGUCGGUAACACCCGAAGCCGGUGGCCCAACCCCUUGUGGGAGGGAGCCGUCGAAGGUGGGACUGGUGAUUGGGACUAAGUCGUAACAAGGUAGCCGUACCGGAAGGUGCGGCUGGAUCACCUCCUUU
rnacentral:rRNA from 1 species